GAUUGCCCCAGUUAACGGCGAAGUGAAGCGGCAACAGCUCAAAUUUGAAAUCUGGCCCUCGGGUCCGAGUUGUAAUUUGGAGAGGAKGCUUUUGGCGCGGCGCCGUCCGAGUUCCUUGGAACAGGACGCCAUAGAGGGUGAGAGCCCCGUACGGGCGGCCGCCUAGCCUUUGUAAAGCUCCUUCGACGAGUCGAGUAGUUUGGGAAUGCUGCUCAAAAUGGGAGGUAAAUUUCUUCUAAAGCUAAAUACCGGCCAGAGACCGAUAGCGCACAAGUAGAGUGAUCGAAAGAUGAAAAGCACUUUGAAAAGAGGGUUAAAAAGUACGUGAAAUUGUUGAAAGGGAAGCGCCUGUGACCAGACUUGCGGCCCGUGGAUCAUCCGGUGUUCUUCACCGGUGCACUCCGCGGGCUGCAGGCCAGCAUCGGUUUUCCUAGGGGGAUAAAGGUCGCGGGAACGUAGCUCCCUCGGGAGUGUUAUAGCCCGUGGCGUCAUGCCUCUGGGGGGACCGAGGACCGCGCUUCGGCAAGGAUGCUGGCGUAAUGGUCACCGGCGACCCGUCUUGAAACACGGACCAAGGAGUCAAGCAUUGGGGCGAGUGUCUGGGUGCCAAACCCGCACGCGAAAUGAAAGUAAACGCAGGUGAGAGCUUCGGCGCAUCACCGACCGAUCCUGAUGUUCUCGGAUGGAUUUGAGUAAGAGCCUUACCGCUUGGACCCGAAAGAUGGUGAACUAUGCCUGUAUAGGGUGAAGCCAGAGGAAACUCUGGUGGAGGCUCGCAGCGGUUCUGACGUGCAAAUCGAUCGUCAAAUAUGGGCAUGGGGGCGAAAGACUAAUCGAACCAUCUAGUAGCUGGUUACCGCCAG
rnacentral:rRNA from 1 species